rnacentral:lncRNA from 1 species
GAUGGAUUGGUGUAUGGUACAAGAAAUUGGAAGACCUAAGGAGAAACCACUGUCACUUGCUCUGCCACCAGAGGGCAGUCACUGCAAACACACAGGGUCUAGAGGAGAGAUGGAGAGGAUUGAAUAAGUAGUCUGCAUAGCUUUCGGAACUGGAUCUGGAAGAGAUGGAACUCAGAGAUUCCCUCAGGCCUUCUGAUGAUGUCCUGGGUAAAUUCAGCCUGGCAGCCGACAUGGAAGAAGUGGGCAUGGAUUCCCCAGAGAAUUUCAACCCAGACUGACUGAUGGAAGGGCCGAGACACAGAAAGUGCUUCUCAGAAGGCAGCUCAAUAUGGCGGCUGGUGUUACUCCUACAAAUGCACCUCCUUGUAUCCUGAAGCCUUGGAGGCCAUUGUCACAGUUCAGGACAGUGAUCCAUCCCUUCCCAAAUCAGCCAGAAUUAAAUGGCCUGAAAUCUUCGAGGCCCCAGGAACAUACACUUCUAGAUCAGCACUUCUCUUCUUUUAACACAGCUUCUCAUGUCUUUGACCACACAGGCCAUCCCUGUCAGGGGUAGAUCCUGAGCUCAGGGAUUGAGCUCUGGGAAGCACUGGCCUCUCUGUCAUAAUUGCUCCUCCUCUCUGGGAACACAGACCCAUGCAUCAACCCCCACUUUGCAGCAGCAGGCUUGAGUCCUAUAAUUAUAAGCAUGAUGAAGUCUGUCUCAGCUGGAGCCAGAUGGGAACUAUGCUAUGAAAGCCCCUAAUUACACAUCUCUGCAAGGAGAACCAGGUGGGUGCCGAUCGUAACGAUGCCUAUUGAGGAGCGACAACCCUGAUACACAACAUGGCAACAUACGGCUCUGAUGCUGGGAAGUUCUCGGGAGGUGCUUCCCUGCAUUGGCUUCAGGGAACCCACAGAGCUGGGUGCCCAGGGUAAAGAGGAAACACAACAGUAGCCUGGAAGCUGAGUCUCUUCUAUUGAGAAAGACAUGGGUGUUAUGCAUCAGAGUCAUUCCUAAAGGGAAAAAAAUCAGGUUAAUGGGCUCUGGGACCAAGUUUUCUCCAUGACAGUGAACUGAUACAAAUGUAUGCACACAUGCAACCCAAACACACACACCUCAUUGCUCACUCACUGUAAAACAGUCACUUACAUAUGCGAGUGUUACCCUGUUGUCACUUGCAGCCACAUACCUACAUGUACUUAAGAACCUUAAGGAGCGUCUAUGUCUGGUCCAAGUCACAUGACUGGUGAAGAGUAGAGGCAAAGCUUCAUAUAACACCGCAAGCAGUGUGACCACCAUACUACACAGUCCCCAAGAAUCAUUCGUGUCUGGCUCCAUUAAAAUUGUUCAGGUUUCACAGUGAGACAGAGAGAAGCCUGAAACUCUGAUAUGGUCAUUCUUCCGGCCUCUCUAUAACAGGCAUGAAAUAACCUACGCAGAGUGUGAUGGUUUGUAUAUGUUUGGCCCAGGGAGUGGCACUAUUAGAGUGUGGCCCUAUUGGAGGAGGUGUGUCACUGUGGGUGUGGGCUUUAACACCCUCAUCCUAGCUGCCUGGAAGUCAGUAUUGUGCUAGCAGCCUUCCGAUGAAGAUGUAGAACUCUCAGCUCCUCCUGCACCAUUCCUGCCUGGAUGCUGCCAUGUUCUCACCUUGAUGAUAAUGGACUGAACCUCUGAACCUCUAAGCCAGAUCCAAUUAAAUGUUGUCC